CACAUGCGAAGGAGAAGAGGCAAAACAUCCCAGCUCAUGCCCGCCUGUCAUUGCUGUCAUUUCCGUCAAGAGCGUUUCCCGCGCAGCGAGAGGGCAAGCAGACGGUGUCCUGGUGGCUGAAGAGCAUCGCCACCCAGCUGGUCUAGUGCGGUAUCUGGGAGGUUUAUUCUUCAUGUAUGGACAGCUGGAGAUGGAGGACGGAGGCUGAGCAGGGUUGCGGUUUGAGCUCUUCUUCGUCCUCGUGCUAUGGCUAUUUCUCUGCGAUGUUCUUUUGAGAGCAGUGGAGCGAUGCCUGGCUCUCGUUUGUCUGUGGACUUCCCCUUGUCUGUG
rnacentral:sRNA from 1 species